CCCAAAGUGUCCACCUUUUCAGAUCAUGUACCCAUUAGGCUAACUGCCUUAGGAAUCCUCUAGUUCUUGAAAAUAAGAGCUAAGAAGUUUUCAUAUCCCCCUCUUCUCAGAUUUGUGAAAUACAUUUGUCAUAAUGGCUGACUUUUGACACAGAUGACAUCAUUUUACCAUCAUAAUAGAAUUUAGAAUUCUGUCAAUAUAGAAGAGAUGCUAGAAGUUUCAUUAUUUAUAAGAGGCUCCAAAUGGAUAAAACCAAACACAGUAAAACCUUACAAAAGAUCUUAGAAAGUAUUGACACAAUGACAUUUUUGGCAAUUUCUUUAUGAUGAUACCUUGUAGAAAUAGAUCUAGCCAUGAGUACCAAGAAAGUUUUGCUUAGGAAUCGUACGCAUUGAGGUUGGAAGCUAUCAGUACUAAUUCUUUAUAUGUAGCAACCCAAUACUUGCUGUGCUGACCCUACUGUAAAGGCAUCUUUGGCUGCAUUCUUACUCCUCCUCCUAUUCAUUUCUGAGCCAACUGAUCCUGCCAUAAAUGCCACCAGAUAAAGAAUCUAGUCACGGUUUGGCUGGGUCCUGACUUUCAGGAUCUCUCACAAGGCUGAAAUCAAGAUGUUCUGGAGGGCUAGAUGUCUCCUCUAAAGGAUUGAGCUAAGGUCCACUUCUAAGAUCAUCUUUUUUGUACCUCUGGUCUUCCACAAUUCAGAUCAUCUCACUGAAGGUGCUAUUUUUGUCUUCAAGGAAGGCAUCAGGAGCACUGAUUACUAAGCCAUCAUGUAUUAUGGGCAGAGAACUGAUCUUGCUAAAAGCAACAGGGUGAAGUCAUACAAAGUGCAGCGCACUUACCCUUUCAGAACCACAUAAAGCAUUGGAAAGAUUGCGGUCUGCCUUCCAUACUACUGAAGCUGAUAGACCAAAUAUUUCGUCAUGAUGUAAAAAGAGGAUGUGGUCUGGACACUGCCUACUUACAUAGAAGGACUGCUAAUGUGGGACAGCCAAAUUGAUUUCUAGGUACUCAUCAGUUUUACUGUUCUUGAAGAAGUUUGCCAAGAUCAUUGACGUUCUUGUCUGGAUUCCAAGGCAGGUAUUCAGGAAACUACAAAACUUACAUUUUAAGUAACUAUCACAAAUACAACCACAGGAUGGAGGUAAAAUCUGUUCUACCAUAUAUGCACUAUGCUGGAAAGGGGGAAAAAAAGCAUAAAAAGUAAAAAUAUUUAAUUUAUAUAUUUUAAGAAAAUUAAAAAAUGACCUACCUUGUUGCUAAUCUAUACUUUAAGGUCACUCUCUGCCUUAUAAUAAAUUCUGAUUGCUAGUUCGCCAUUGAUUCAUUAAUAUUAAUGACCAAAACCCAACAUUUCAAAAUCAUUGUCUUCCUCUGACCCUCAGUGUUUUAC